rnacentral:lncRNA from 1 species
CAUUUCUAUUAAAGUAUAGUCUUUUUCUAUUUCUUCUACUACUAAUAAAUCUUGUAAUUCCUCAUACAUUGUCGUCUUUUUAUUACAUGUACAAUUUUCUCCUUUAUCACAUUCUAGUGAUAUUUUGGAUUUUAUUUGGUUAUCUAAGCUUUCCUCUGACUUAUCCUUAAGAAGGCGAUAUUUAGUUAAAGUAGGUUGUGUCUGUACUGGUGAAUGAGUGAUA